rnacentral:tRNA from 1 species
GGUAAAAUGGCCGAGACAUAGGCAAUAAAUUGUAAAUUUAUCUACGAAUGAAUGUUCUUUUACCA